AGUUUAUUAGUUUAGUUGGUUAGAACAUUAUAUUGAUAAUAUGAAAGUUGCAUGUUCAAUUCUUGUUUGGAUCA
rfam:Glycine max cultivar Williams 82 chromosome 8, whole genome shotgun sequence.